rnacentral:rRNA from 1 species
AUUGAACGCUGGCGGUAGGCCUAACACAUGCAAGUCGAACGCGAAAGUCCUUCGGGAUGAGUAGAGUGGCGGACGGGUGAGUAACGCGUAGGAAUCUAUCCUGUAGUGGGGGAUAACGUUUCGAAAGGAACGCUAAUACCGCAUACGCCCUACGGGGGAAAGGCGGGGGAGUCUUCGGACCUCGUGCUAGAGGAGGAGCCUGCGUCGGAUUAGCUAGUUGGUGAGGUAAAGGCUCACCAAGGCGACGAUCCGUAGCUGGUCUGAGAGGAUGAUCAGCCACACCGGAACUGAGACACGGUCCGGACUCCUACGGGAGGCAGCAGUGGGGAAUAUUGCGCAAUGGGCGAAAGCCUGACGCAGCCAUACCGCGUGUGUGAAGAAGGCCUUCGGUU